GGAGCCUGGGGAUGGUGGUAUAGGGCAGACAUCUGGUGCUGCUGGACACAGUGGAGGUAGCAGUUGCUGAACACCACUCCCAGGCCCAGCGGGAAGCUCUGGCCCCUCAGCUGGUGCUGGCCCCUGUGGGGCAGGGCACCCCAUACAGCCCGGGGACCCCUGCGCUCACAGAGUUCUCUGGACUUCAAAGAGAGCUCCCCCCAGCGGUGCACCUGCUGACCCUGGCCCGCUGGGGCCCCAACACAGUCCUGCUGCGCCUGGAGCACAUUUUUGGGCGUGGGGAGGGCAGCAUGUUCAACCUGUCCCAGCCAGUGACCCUGAACCUACAGGAUCUGUUCUCCGCCUUCACCAUCAGCCACCUGGAGGAGACCCUCUUGGGGCCGGGGCUGAGGUGUGACGCUCCUUUCAUCUCCUGUCUCUCUGGUCUCGCUCUAACAGGCCCUGCUCCUGUGCAGCCGGCCCCUCCCUGGACCCCUCUGCUGUCACUCUCCAGCCCAUGGAAAUCCGCACCUUCCUGGCCUCUGUCACCUGGAGCAAGGAAAGGGACAGAUGAGGUUCUGAGCCCUGAGCUGCCCUUCGCAGACCAUGCUUUCUCUCCCCAGGCUGGACCAGAAGGAGCUCUCCUGUCACUUUCUUAGGGCUUC
rnacentral:lncRNA from 1 species